rnacentral:rRNA from 1 species
AACGAACGCUGGCGGCAUGCCUAACACAUGCAAGUCGAACGAGACCUUCGGGUCUAGUGGCGCACGGGUGCGUAACGCGUGGGAAUCUGCCCUUGGGUUCGGAAUAACAGUUAGAAAUGACUGCUAAUACCGGAUAAUGUCUUCGGACCAAAGAUUUAUCGCCCAGGGAUGAGCCCGCGUAGGAUUAGCUAGUUGGUGAGGUAAAGGCUCACCAAGGCGACGAUCCUUAGCUGGUCUGAGAGGAUGAUCAGCCACACUGGGACUGAGACACGGCCCAGACUCCUACGGGAGGCAGCAGUGGGAAUAUUGGGACAAUGGGCGAAAGCCUGAUCCAGCAAUGCCGCGUGAGUGAUGAAGGCCUUAGGGUUGUAAAGCUCUUUUACCCGGGAUGAUAAUGACAGUACCGGGAGAAUAAGCCCCGGCUAACUCCGUGCCAGCAGCCGCGGUAAU